UACGUAGGGUGCGAGCGUUGUCCGGAAUUACUGGGCGUAAAGAGCUCGUAGGUGGUUUGUCGCGUUGUUCGUGAAAACUCACAGCUCAACUGUGGGCGUGCGGGCGAUACGGGCAGACUGGAGUACUGCAGGGGAGACUGGAAUUCCUGGUGUAGCGGUGAAAUGCGCAGAUAUCAGGAGGAACACCGGUGGCGAAGGCGGGUCUCUGGGCAGUAACUGACGCUGAGGAGCGAAAGCGUGGGGAGCAAACAGG
rnacentral:rRNA from 1 species